UACAGAGGGUGCAAGCGUUAAUCGGAAUUACUGGGCGUAAAGCGCACGGAGGCGGUUUUUUAAGUCAGAUGUGAAAGCCCCGGGCUCAACCUGGGAAUUGCAUUUGAAACUGGGGAACUAGAGUGUGUGAGAGGGGGGUAGAAUUCCAAGUGUAGCGGUGAAAUGCGUAGAGAUUUGGAGGAAUACCAGUGGCGAAGGCGGCCCCCUGGCACAACACUGACGCUCAGGUGCGAAAGCGUGGGGAGCAAACAGG
rnacentral:rRNA from 1 species